rnacentral:rRNA from 1 species
GUCCAGACUCCUACGGGAGGCAGCAGUGGGGAAUAUUGCACAAUGGGGGAAACCCUGAUGCAGCGACGCCGCGUGAGUGAAGAAGUAUUUCGGUAUGUAAAGCUCUAUCAGCAGGGAAGAAAAUGACGGUACCUGACUAAGAAGCCCCGGCUAACUACGUGCCAGCAGCCGCGGUAAUACGUAGGGGGCAAGCGUUAUCCGGAUUUACUGGGUGUAAAGGGAGCGUAGACGGCAUGGCAAGUCAGAUGUGAAAGCCCGGGGCUCAACCCCGGGACUGCAUUUGAAACUGUCAGGCUGGAGUGCAGGAGAGGUAAGUGGAAUUCCUAGUGUAGCGGUGAAAUGCGUAGAUAUUAGGAGGAACACCAGUGGCGAAGGCGGCUUACUGGACUGUACCUGACGCUGAGGCGCGAAAGCGUGGGUAGCGAACGGGAUUAGAUACCCCUGUAC